rnacentral:rRNA from 1 species
UACGUAGGGUGCAAGCGUUGUCCGGAAUUAUUGGGCGUAAAGAGCUCGUAGGCGGUCUGUCGCGUCGGCUGUGAAAACCCAGGGCUCAACCCUGGGCCUGCAUUCGAUACGGGCAGACUAGAGUACGGCAGGGGAGACUGGAAUUCCUGGUGUAGCGGUGAAAUGCGCAGAUAUCAGGAGGAACACCGGUGGCGAAGGCGGGUCUCUGGGCCGAAACUGACGCUGAGGAGCGAAAGCGUGGGGAGCGAACAGG